CUUUCAUUCUCCCUUCCUUGCCUUUCCUGGUGCCGUCUCCCUACGUAGGAUGCGGGAAAAGGGUGCUAGGUGUGCAUCCACACAGUCUGUCUUUGGGACCCAUGAAGACUUAGGAGGGUAUGAAAAUCAUGCAUAUUAGUGGGUGCCACAGUGGAGCAAUGUCUGUCGGUGUUGACUUGGUCUUUAAUCAUCGCCUGGGGCUGAUGUAGACCAAAUGAGAGAGGGAGGCAGAGAUUACGGCAAGAUUUCACAUACCUUCAGAGCUUUGUGUAAUGCUGACUCACCCUUGGCUUUUGCAACUGCACUGCAGAGGAAUUGUCCAGGAGCGCUGUCUGGAGGAGAGACUCUCAAAAGUGGACCUGAACAUCCUUCUAAGCAGACGUGAACAGUCCUCAGCUUUCCUGCCUCCUGCAUAACUGGCUUACCAAGGGAAAAGAAGUCACGUAUCAGUCUACUGUCCUCAUGCGAAGGAAAGCGAGACCGACGAGACCGCGAUCAUUGUCGAAAUCAGGCAUUAGCUGUACAUCUGGGAGCGGAGCAGUCACCGCUGUCAGUGAGAUAAAUGUCUGGUUUGGUGAGGGAUCUGCUCAUGGCCCACCUGGCUCCAGAGGAAUCAUCCAGGAGCCCUCACCGGACGAGAAUAUGCAGAAGUGGACCUCAGCAGCCUGGACAUCUUUCUAAGGAGACAUGAAUAUUCCUCAUCUUUCUGCCUUUUGCAUA